rnacentral:miRNA from 1 species
GUGUAUCUCCUGAAAACGACGACA